UACAGAGGUCUCAAGCGUUGUUCGGAUUCAUUGGGCGUAAAGGGUGCGUAGGUGGCGCCGUAAGUCGGGUGUGAAAUUUCGGAGCUUAACUCCGAAACUGCAUUCGAUACUGCGGUGCUUGAGGACUUGAGAGGAGACUGGAAUUCAUGGUGUAGCAGUGAAAUGCGUAGAGAUCAUGAGGAAGACCAGUGGCGAAGGCGGGUCUCUGGACAGUUCCUGACACUGAGGCACGAAGGCCAGGGGAGCAAACGGG
rnacentral:rRNA from 1 species